GGGAAACUGCCCGAUGGAGGGGGAUAACUACUGGAAACGGUAGCUAAUACCGCAUAACGUCGCAAGACCAAAGUGGGGGACCUUCGGGCCUCACACCAUCGGAUGUGCCCAGAUGGGAUUAGCUAGUAGGUGGGGUAAUGGCUCACCUAGGCGACGAUCCCUAGCUGGUCUGAGAGGAUGACCAGCCACACUGGAACUGAGACACGGUCCAGACUCCUACGGGAGGCAGCAGUGGGGAAUAUUGCACAAUGGGCGCAAGCCUGAUGCAGCCAUGCCGCGUGUAUGAAGAAGGCCUUCGGGUUGUAAAGUACUUUCAGCGGGGAGGAAGGCGGUGAAGUUAAUAGCUUCACCGAUUGACGUUACCCGCAGAAGAAGCACUGGCUAACUCCGUGCCAGCAGCCGCGGUAAUACGGAGGGUGCAAGCGUUAAUCGGAAUUACUGGGCGUAAAGCGCACGCAGGCGGUCUGUCAAGUCGGAUGUGAAAUCCCCGGGCUUAACCUGGGAACUGCAUUCGAAACUGGCAGGCUAGAGUCUUGUAGAGGGGGGUAGAAUUCCAGGU
rnacentral:rRNA from 1 species